rnacentral:rRNA from 1 species
UACGGAGGGUGCAAGCGUUAUUCGGAAUUAUUGGGCGUAAAGGGCGCGUAGGCGGCUAGAUGUGUCAAAGGUGAAAUCCCUCGGCUCAACUGAGGAACUGCCUUUGAAACUGUCUGGCUUGAGGCCGGGAGAGGGUAGCGGAAUUCCCAGUGUAGCGGUGAAAUGCGUAGAUAUUGGGAGGAACACCAGUGGCGAAGGCGGCUACCUGGACCGGUUCUGACGCUGAGGCGCGAAAGCGUGGGGAGCAAACAGG